rnacentral:rRNA from 1 species
CCUACGGGUGGCAGCAGUGGGGAAUAUUGGGCAAUGGGCGCAAGCCUGACCCAGCAACGCCGCGUGAAGGAAGAAGGCUUUCGGGUUGUAAACCUCUGUUAAGAGGGAAGAGCAUAAGACGAUACCUCUUGAAUACGCCAGGGCUAACUGCGCGCGAGCAGCCGGGGUAACGCGUAGGGGGCAAGCGUUGUCCGGAUUCACUGGGUGGAGAGGGCGUGGAGGCGGGAAGACAAGUGAGAUGUGAAAUCGCGCGGCUCAACCGCGGAACUGCAUUUGAAACUGUUAUUCUUGAGUACAGGAGAGGUGAGCGGAAUUCCUUGUGUAGCGGUGAAAUGCGUAGAUAUAAGGAAGAACACCAGUGGCGAAGGCGGAUGACUGGACUGCAACUGACGGUGAGGCGCGAAAGCGUGGGGAGCAAACAGGAUUAGAUACCCCGGUAGUC